rnacentral:misc_RNA from 1 species
UUUCCGUAGGCGAACCUGCGGAAGGAUCAUUACAGAGUUCAUGCCCUCACGGGUAGAUCUCCAACCCUUGAAUAUUUAUACCUUAGUUGCUUUGGCAGGCCGUGGAAACACCAUGGGCUCCGGCUUAUGCGUGCCUGCCAGAGGAAACAAACUCUGUUUUUAGUGAUGUCUGAGUACUAUAUAAUAGUUAAAACUUUCAACAACGGAUCUCUUGGUUCUG